GCGGGCGUAGUUCAAUUGGUAGAACAUUUCCUUGCCAAGGAAAAGGUCACGAGUUCGAGCCUCGUCGCCCGCU
rnacentral:tRNA from 1 species